rnacentral:rRNA from 1 species
GAUGAAGGCGGGGGACGUGCUAAACAUAUGCAAGUCGACCGAAGGCACGAGAAGGUUGCCUCAUUAUGUUAAAGACGGACGGGCUGGUAACACCUGGAUCACCUACCCCUUAGUCCAGGAUAACGUCGGAUAACAGGGGCCAAUACCGCCCAAUAUCUCCAACGGCAUAGAUCAGAAGUAAAUUUCAUGCUUGCUGCCCACUGCAGAUUGAUUCGCGCUGCAUUAGCUAGGUGGUAAGGUAACGGCAUACCAAGGCGACGAUGCAUAGCCGACCUGAGAGGAUGAAAAGCCACACUGGAACUGAGACACGGUCCAGACUCCUACGGGAGGCAGCAGGCGGGAAUAUUCCGGAAAGGGGGAAAGCCUGACGGAGCAACGCCGCGUGAGUGAAGAAGGCCUUCGGAGCGUAAAACCCUGUUAUUAGGGAAGAACACAUGUGUAAGGAACUAUGCACGGCUUGACGGUACCUAAUCAGAAAGCAACGGCUAACUACGUG